GGAGCAACGCCGCGUGAACGAUGAAGGUCUUCGGAUCGUAAAGUUCUGUUGUCAGGGAAGAACAAGUACCGUGCGAAUAGAGCGGUACCUUGACGGUACCUGACGAGGAAGCCCCGGCUAACUACGUGCCAGCAGCCGCGGUAAUACGUAGGGGGCAAGCGUUGUCCGGAAUUAUUGGGCGUAAAGCGCGCGCAGGCGGUUCCUUAAGUCUGAUGUGAAAGCCCACGGCUCAACCGUGGAGGGUCAUUGGAAACUGGGGAACUUGAGGACAGAAGAGGAGAGUGGAAUUCCACGUGUAGCGGUGAAAUGCGUAGAUAUGUGGAGGAACACCAGUGGCGAAGGCGACUCUCUGGUCUGUUUCUGACGCUGAGGUGCGAAAGCGUGGGUAGCAAACAGGAUUAGAUACCCUGGUAGUCCACGCCGUAAACGAUGAGUGCUAGGUGUUAGGGGGCUUCCACCCCUUAGUGCUGAAGUUAACGCAUUAAGCACUCCGCC
rnacentral:rRNA from 1 species